rnacentral:rRNA from 1 species
GACGAACGCUGGCGGCGUGCCUAAUACAUGCAAGUUGAGCGCUGAAGGUUGGUACUUGUACCAACUGGAUGAGCAGCGAACGGGUGAGUAACGCGUGGGGAAUCUGCCUUUGAGCGGGGGACAACAUUUGGAAACGAAUGCUAAUACCGCAUAAAAACUUUAAACACAAGUUUUAAGUUUGAAAGAUGCAAUUGCAUCACUCAAAGAUGAUCCCGCGUUGUAUUAGCUAGUUGGUGAGGUAAAGGCUCACCAAGGCGAUGAUACAUAGCCGACCUGAGAGGGUGAUCGGCCACAAUGGGACUGGGACACGGCCCAAACUCCUACGGGAGGCAGCAGUAGGGAAUCUUCGGCAAUGGACGAAAGUCUGACCGAGCAACGCCGCGGGAGUGAAGAAGGUUUUCGGAUCGUAAAACUCUGUUGGUAGAGAAGAACGUUGGUGAGAGUGGAAAGCUCAUCAAGUGACGGUAACUACCCAGAAAGGGACGGCUAACUACGUG